rnacentral:rRNA from 1 species
CCUACGGGCGGCAGCAGUGGGGAAUAUUGGACAAUGGGCGAAAGCCUGAUCCAGCCAUGCCGCGUGUGUGAAGAAGGCCUUCGGGUUGUAAAGCACUUUCAGUGGGGAAGAAAGCCUUGGGGCUAAUACCCUCGAGGAAGGACAUCACCCACAGAAGAAGCACCGGCUAACUCCGUGCCAGCAGCCGCGGUAAUACGGAGGGUGCGAGCGUUAAUCGGAAUUACUGGGCGUAAAGCGCGCGUAGGCGGUCUGAUAAGCCGGUUGUGAAAGCCCCGGGCUCAACCUGGGAACGGCAUCCGGAACUGUCAGGCUAGAGUGCAGGAGAGGAAGGUAGAAUUCCCGGUGUAGCGGUGAAAUGCGUAGAGAUCGGGAGGAAUACCAGUGGCGAAGGCGGCUUUCUGGACUGACACUGACGCUGAGGUGCGAAAGCGUGGGUAGCAAACAGGAUUAGAUACCCGAGUAGUC